rnacentral:lncRNA from 1 species
CAUCAGCCGCAUCAGGACGGCCAUCCAUACGUACUGCACUACAUAGCUAAACCAGUAAGCAAAAGCCAAAAAAAGAGCUAAGAAAAAUAGAACUUUCCACAUCUCUCUCUAAACUUUACUCCUAAGUUUUUCUGUGUUCCACCGAAGACUCAUAUAAUGCAAAUAUAUAUAUAUCUAAACCUUGAGUAGGUGACCAGUGUUUAAUACUACUGAAUUUUCACUCAAAAUAAGAACUUGGCGUCUCCAAGUUUCCAAAGUGUUUUUAACAUCUUCUUUUAUUUCCAUACCAUUUUCUAAAUAAUCAGUGAUAGACUCACAGAGUAUACUUUCCUUAUUUAACUACUGAAGUCUGAACAUGCUUUAUGGCAUGCAUAUCUCUAUCCCUCUCCUUUUCGGUUUUACAGUUCGGUCCAGUUCUACAUUAUGCAUUUGGUAUUAUGGACGAACAUACCCACCAUAUGUAUAAAAUUUGGGAAA